rnacentral:tRNA from 1 species
GCCGGAGUGGCGGAACUGGCAGACGCACCAGACUCAAAAUCUGGCGAGCCUUACAGCUCGUGGGGGUUCGACUCCCCCCUCCGGCACCA